rnacentral:tRNA from 1 species
AUUCUAAUCGUUUAAUGGUAAGACAUGGUUCUUCUAAAGCCACAAUUGAAGUUCAAAUCUUCAUUAGAAUG